rnacentral:rRNA from 1 species
GAUGAACGCYGGCGGCGUGCUUAACACAUGCAAGUCGAGSGAAGCACUUACCAUUGACUCUUCGGAAGAUUUGGUAAAUGACUGAGCGGCGGACGGGUGAGUAACGCGUGGGUAACCUGCCUCAUACAGGGGAAUAACAGUUAGAAAUGGCUGMUAAUKCCGCAUAAGCGCACAGUACCGCAUGGUACGGUGUGAAAAACCGAGGUGGUAUGAGAUGGACCCGCGUCUGAUUAGGUAGUUGGUGGGGUAACGGCCUACCAAGCCGACGAUCAGUAGCCGGCCUGAGAGGGUGAACGGCCACAUUGGGACUGAGACACGGCCCAGACUCCUACGGGAGGCAGCAGUGGGGAAUAUUGCACAAUGGGGGAAACCCUGAUGCAGCGACGCCGCGUGAAGGAAGAAGUAUCUCG